AAAAUACCUCCACACCGCCGAAUAUGACAAGUCGUUUCACGUUGUUUUUCUUGUAAAUUUAUUGUUUUAUAUGAAAAUGAUCGUGUAAAAGACUUGACACAUAUACACAGAAUAAAAUGGAUGGUAAAAGGAAACGACGGUCAAAGAAGCAGCCAUUGUUGGAAAAUGAAGAGGGUACUGAAGAUGGUUCCUCUAACCCAGCCAUGGAUUCGGAUACAGAAACUGCUUACCAGGCUCUGUCACAUACCGAUGGGGAAUCUUCAGCUGCAGAGAUACUAGAAGCUGGGCAAGCAGAAACAUUAAAGAAAGAAUUAAAGACAAAACAUCGAAGGAAAUUAAAAGAGUUGUCACAACUCAGAAGUCCACAAGAUGAUUUGGCAGGUGAAAUGAAAACCGUGAAGAAACGCAGUAGACAGAAAUUAGAUGAAACUGCUCAAGAAGAAAUGGAAGCUCAGAGAGCAGCUCUGGCAGCAUCCACAGAAGAUGGAACAGUACCUAUGCCAGAGGAGGAGACAAUGGUGGAUGAAACUAUCACCACCACAACUAGAAUUGAAGAAGAAUUAAAAAUAAUUUCAGAAACAGUAGAUGAAACGGUAUUAGAUAAAACAUCAACAACUAUAGAUAGUCAAGCUGAUACAAUGGAAGAAGCUAAAACUACAGGUAGAAGUUUACGUGGUGCCUCUGUUAGAGAAAGACUACGGAGUCGUGUUCAGAAAGCUAAGGAAAAAGCGGACAAUGAAAUUCUUGAGGAAGAAAGAGAAGAAAGAAAAAGGCUAAGAGAUGAAAGAAGUAAAAAGUCAACAAGAUUUGAUAAAGAUUAUAAUGAGGAAGAAAUGGAAAGAAUUUUGGAAGAAAAAUCAAAACUUCUGAAAUCCAGACGUCAAAAAAUGGAAGACAAAGGAGAAAAGGGUGACCGUCUGCCCACAGAAGAGGAAGCUUAUGAUUUCUUCACAAGAAAUUGGGAUCCAGAACCAGAGGUCACUGAAGAACAAUUAAAAGAAGAAGUAAAAAAAAAGCAAAAGAAGGAAGAACCUAAAGAAGGAACCAGUAAAGAAGGGGGAGAAGAAGAAAGAGCAGAAGGCGAGGAAGAGAAAAAAGAAGGAGAAGGGGAUGAAGAAGAUAAAGAUAAAGAAGAAGAGCAGGAGGAAGAAAAGGAGCAAGAUGAGAGUAAACCUGAAGAUGAACAACCACUGUUAGAUGAAUUUCCACAUGAUGAAGAAGGAAUUGGUCCAAUAGCAUUCCGUAAAUCUGAAUAUAUAUCAAAGAAAAAGAAAGAGGAUUCUGAUAAUCAACUGUUGUUUAUUCCAUCUGUUAUUUCUAUGCCAGCUAGUGAAAAGGUAGAUGAAGAAAAGAUGCCAAGAUAUUUAGAAGAAGAAGGAUUUUAUGUUGGUGUUCGUCCAGUGGUUGCCAAUAGAAACUUAAAUAGAAUGGAAAAUCGUCUGCUUCAUGAACCAGAUAAGGGUCGAAAAUGGUUUGGAGAAGAUGGUCGUUUGAUAGCAUUACCAGAUCCGUUAAAGAAACAUCCUUCUCGACCUGCAAUGACUGAUGAACCAGAACCUUAUUUGGAAACAGUUUUUAGAAAGGCUAUUAUGAGAGAUUUUGAUUGUCGAUAUAUAGAUGGUGCUGUGGAUGGUUAUGGUCGUUAUCAACUAGAUGUGGAUAUCAACUCUAUUGUCUUCUCCCAUCACCAUCUGUUUAGUAGAGAACAUGUUUUAGCUACACGACUUUCAGAUCUUUAUCAGGAAUAUGGUGCUAGAAAGAAGAAAAAUAUGACUGAAUUUUUAUCAGAAAAGGUCAAAGCAUUAAAGAACUCGGCAAUUCAUUUACAUGAAUAUAUUUUAAACCAUAAAGGGGAAAUGGCAGUUGUUGAUAGAGCUAAUUAUGAAAAACGUUUAAAAGAUUAUAAAUAUGAUAUCAGACAAACUAGAUUAGUGAGAGAUAAAGAAGAAGAAACGGAUCGUCUUUUGAUAAAAAAUAUUAUUCAUACAUGGAAAGAAUUAAAAAGUUUACGGGAGUUCCAGAAUUAUAAUAACACACCAAUCAAAUUACAAGUUAUCAAAGAAGAAACAAAUAAAGCUGAAGAUCAAAAACAUUGGAAAGAAGAAAUAGAAGAAGAAUUAAUGGAAAUUCAAGAAGAAUAUGAAGAAGAAUUUCAGAAAAAAAUGGCAAUCUAUAAGGAAGAGUUAGAAAUGUAUGAAAAACAGCAAGCAGCAAAGAAAGAUGCCUCUAAGAGAAAUAAAAAGAGGAGAAAAAAUAAAAAACAUACUGAAGCGGAAGAUCGAGAUGAGCAGAUAGAGCAAAUGUCGCCAGAAGAUAGAGAAUUAUUAAAUGAGGAAGAUUUACCACAACCAGUAUUACCAGAGAAAUUUGAUAGUAAACUAACGAGGGAUAAAAUCAAAGCUAAAGCUAUGGCAAUACGAAGAAGACCUGGUGAACCAAAGUUAAUACCUGAACUUACCAGUACAGCAACUGUUACCCCAACUAAACAAUGUCCAAGAGGAGAACAGAGUAGAAGAGAUGAUGUUUCUAAAACCAAUGUUUUUGUUAAAAUUCUAUUCAAUAAUAAAGAAGUCUCAAGAACACCUGCCAAGCCUCUUUCACAAGAUUUUCGAGUAACUUUUGGUCAAAUCUAUAACCUAAAGAUUGUUCAGUGGCCAGAAUCUGUUAAAUUCCAGAUAUUUGAAACACGAGGGUUAGGGAGUGAUUUAUUAGCAGAUUUAUAUGCUGGUAUACCUGAUCCAUCUGUAACAUCACAAAGUGUACAACUAGAAGAAAUGGAUUUUAGUACAGAUCUAAAGAUAGAUAUUACACAUGAAGGUGUUGGUAGUGGUAUACCAUUUACAUUUGAUAUACAUGGUACUAAUACUAUGAUAUUGAUGACAACCGGUAUAAUGUGUAGUAGUGUAGCUUGGUCUGUUGGAGAAGAUGGCACCCCUCUUGUACCACCAAUGUCUGGUUAUUCUACUAACAAUAUAUAUAAUGCUAUGAAAAUGAUGGAUCCUGUAGCUGCUAUAGGAGCAACAGGUGUUGUUAAUAUAGAACGUUUGGCUAAAUGGUUCCAAGAAUCUCGUCUAGAUCCUAAUGAUCCUAAUAAUGCUGAUUUAGUUUAUAUGUUAGGGUCACGAAGUUCCAGCAGUAUGCAGUCAAGAGAUUUUUUUCGUUUAGAACAACUACAGCAGGAGUUUGAUUUUACUACAGAACAUGAGUUAAAUCAAAACAGACGGUUUAAAUUAUUAUCACUCAGAGACAAUGAGGUACCAGAGUUUAAAAAUUCAAAAAUGGUUCCAGUUUAUGAAAGAGAAUUACCAAGAGAUAUAUUUAUGGAAUAUGAACGUAAACAGAGAGAAGAAGACAGAAUAAAACAUACAGAAGAUAUAGAAUCACAUAGGGCAGCAGUUAAUAGAUUUAUGCAACGGGUAAGAGAAGAAGUAAUGAGGAGAUUCCGUAUGGCAGCUCAUCAGAAAAGAUUAGAGGAUGUAGUUAUAGAAGAAGUUGUACCAAACAUUGGCAUUGUGUUUACAAGAUUACUACAGUUUGGUGAACCAAGACGACCUUUAAAACCUGUAAGAAAAGAGAGAAAGAGGGUCACUGCGGCAGCAGUUAGAGGGGAAGAAGUCAAAAUUCUACUCAAUAUUAUCCGAGCUUCAUGUAUACCAAUACGCAAAUCAGCAGCUGGACCAAGUAAAGAAGAUGGUGCUGCAACUCGGGAUCAUGAUAUGAAGAUUAUUGGUAAUGUUACACUUGUAAGACCAUAUAUUGAAGUAAUGUUCCAGAGAAACACAGUUAGAACAAGUGUUGGGGAUGGACCAAAUCCUAGUUUUAAUGAAGAAUUAGAAUUACCUCUCAAGGCUCCUAAUGGUGAUUUCUCAUCUAAUAAUCUACAGUCUAUGAGUGAUUUUGUAUAUAUCAAUUUAUUUGAUGAAAUGGUUGUAGAUGUUCAGGAGGAUGAUAGAGAUAGAAGUACUAAUAUUCAUCAGAGAUUAGAAAAGAAAUGGCUGGGUAAUUUAAAAAUACCUUUCUCUACUAUUUAUCUCAAUACAAAGAUUGUAGGAACAUUCCGUUUAAACACACCACCAGUUAUGUUAGGAUAUACUUAUGAAGAUUCUGUACGACGUAGUGAUAUGGAGAAUGUUACUAAGAUGGAACACAGUACAUAUAUCAGUAUGUUUUUAACCAUAGAACCACAGUUACUGACACCAGAACCAGUUAGAGAAAGGUUCUCUACCAAUGAGGAUGAGAAACUGUUAGCUCAUUCAGAGAAAUGGCAGGAUGAAUUAGAGAAACGAUUUCCUAAACGUAUUUAUAAAUAUAGUGUGGUAGAUGUUAAUGGUAAAAAUAUGUUUAUAACAAGAUAUUUUAAAGCAUUAAAUAUACCUGAUGAUAUCAAGGCUAUGAAUUUAUCUACAGAUGCAACAGCUGAACGUGUUGCUCAUUAUGUUUCUAUGAUUCCAUUUGUCUCUGACUCUGCUGUCUUUCAUGGUUUAUGUGAUAUAUGGAGUACAUGUGAUCAAUUUUUAAGAAUGUUAGCAGGUGAUGAAGAAGAACAUGCAGUACUUUUGAUGAAUUAUUUCUUGGAACUAGGGAAAAAAGCAUAUCUUUUAAUAGGAUCAGCUGUACCAGAAGGUCCUACAGCCUAUGUAUUAACAGAAGAGGGUACUCAAAUGUGGUUAUGGAAUGCUUCCACUGGUGAACAUUUUAAUGUACAGGAUAGUUUCUGUCCAGUACAAGUUGUAGGCUGUGUUAUGAAUCAGAAUAAUAUUUGGGCCAAUAUACAGCCAUAUGAAAAACCAGUUCAAAUAGAUUUCCGAUUUAACAAUACAUCUUGUUGGAGGCCAAUAUUUGAACGUUCUUUUGCUAAUCCAGUGUUAGGUGCUAUACAGCCGGAGAGACUUCACUAUAUAGACACUGAUAAAAAACAUGCUGAAGAUUUACAAGAAAAAAUUGAGCAACUGUUGAAAAAUAAAAUAAUGGACUGGAGAAGUAGAACAUUGACUAGAUGGAACAGACAUUGUACUAAAAUGAUGAGAAAACUUCUACCUAAAUUAGAAGAAAGUGCUGGACAAGAAAUAAAUGAACAACAUCUGACAGAAUUAGAACAUUCAUUUGCAGCUUACAAAGUAUCUGGUUUUCCUAUGAAUAUGCCAUUUGUAGAUUUAGACAGAAUAGUAGAGAGUGUAUAUUCUACUGGUGUACAUACACAAGAAUCAGCAGAAGAGUUUGCACUAGCUGUUUAUAUACAUCCUUAUUGUAACUCAGUACUAUCAGUCUGGGUUUAUGUAGCAUCAUUAUCUAAAUAAAUUCACAUAUUUUUAGUGCUCUUUAUAUUCAUUUAUCUUGUGUAGUAUUUUAUGGCAUUUUUCUAAUCUAAAUAUCUAAAUUUAAUUUAUCCCUUUGGAACUUUCAAAAACAUCAAAUUUGUAUAACAUGAACAUUGGGUAAGGUUCUAUUAGAACAUUUUUAACAUCAUUAUCAUACAAUAAUCAAAGUGUUUUAAAGUCGAAUAAAAUUUGUUUUCUGCAAAGUUCUAUGCAUUACCUCAAAAAAAUGUGAAAAGUUGAAUAUUAAGUUUGUUCGUGUUAUUACCAUUUAUAGUUUAAUUGUAGUAUGUUUUUCUAUACAAUGUUUUAUAUAUAUUUGGCUAAAUGAAACUUAUCUAAUUCCGCUUUUUAACCUACGAGGGGGGUUGGAUGGCUGAAUGGUUAUCGUGCGCGCUGUAUCAUACAGUCUGUCAUUGAAUUGACUGGCGUGGUUUCGAAUCCCCGGUUGUACGUGGCAAGGAGUAGGGGCGCCUGUCCAGCCUCGUGGCUUUUCUCCCAGUCCUCCGGUUUCCUCCCACUGCUAAAGACCCCUACGCGUAUAUAAAAUUAAACCAUAUGUUAGUCCCGAAAUGACCUAGUUUGUGUCGAGUGGACGUUAAACCCCAUUUCUCUCUCUCUCUCUUUUUAACCUACAAAAUUCCAGACAAAAUUGAAAUGCGAACCUUUGAAAAAUUCCCUCCUUUUUAUACUUUGUGAUACAUUCAGCUAAAUAAAUGGUAACUAAUACUGAGUUUUAACAUUUGAAAUUUUAGACAAAAUCAUCAUUGAGUAAAUCCGUCCAUUUUUUAAGUUUUAGUUCUUAAAUGUAAGUUCAUAGCAUUGUUAUUUAAUUUGUUUAAUUUGAUAUAUCUGUGAUUUUAUAAAUAAUAUUGUUAUACUAUUUUUAACUGUAAAUAGUUGUAGAUUAUGUAUAUUUAUCAGAUUAUUAUUUAUAUAUAAAGAGUUCAAAAAUAA